GUACAUUGUACAUUCAUAGCCGGGCCACGCGCUGUUUGCUGAGUUGGUUUGCAGUUCUUAGAAAGUCAUUUGUACAAACUUUAAAGAGAAAUAUUUAAAACUUAUCUGCAUUUCAUGGAUUGGAAAUUGAGCUGUAGAGGAAACUGAAUUGUAUGAAACCAAUAACAAUAAGAAAAAGAAUUUAGCAGACACAAGAAAACGAAAAGCAAGAAGACACCACCAUACACUGACAUAAGGAAUAAAGUGAAAAGCGAGACAAAAAAAAUCAAUUAUUGACGGGCAUACGAACAAAUCGAUAUCAGACAGACCAACAAUACUCGGCGACGCAUAUUCAACUGGAAUUAGGGUUUUGUAUUGAGCGAACGAACAAAAAAAGCCCAAGUUUCUAUUGUGUUAACUCCAAAAAGUCUGCAUAGCAGCAGCACGCCUUUUUAAUCUACAACAACAACACCAUCAACCAUUGGAUUCCCAGCGCAACAAAGAAACAUGAUGAAUACUCAGAUUACUAUGCAACUGAUACAGAUCUUGGAAAAGACUGUUUCUCCUGACAAAAAUGAAUUGCUAUCGGCGAAAAAUUAUCUGGAACAGGCAGCAGAAAGCAACUUGCCAGAGUUUCUUAAAGCUCUCUCUGACAUACUGGUCACUGUUACCAAUAGCCCUGUGGCUCGCAUGGCAGCUGGUCUGCAAUUGAAAAAUCAUUUAACCAGUAAGGAUGAGACUAUUAACCUACAAUACCAACAAAGAUGGCAUCAAUUUCCAGAUGAAAUAAAGGAGUACAUAAAGAAAAACAUUCUCGAUGCCUUGGGCACAGAAAAUACUCGCCCAUCUUGCGCUGCCCAAUGUGUUGCCUACGUUGCUGUCACUGAAUUACCCAUCAAUCGUUGGGGAAUUCUUAUACAGACCUUGGUCAACAAAGUUGUUAAUGAAGGUUCCAGCGAAAUGGAUCGAGAAGCAGCCUUGGAGGCCAUCGGGUACAUAUGUCAAGACAUUCGUUACGGAGUUUUGGAAAAUCAAUCCAACCAAAUUCUAACUGCUAUUAUUCAUGGAAUGCGGAAACAAGAACCCAGCAAUCAUGUGCGUUUGGCUGCUACUACUGCUUUGUUGAAUUCUCUGGAAUUCACAAAGGCCAAUUUCGAAAAGGACGUAGAGCGUAAUUAUAUCAUGGAGGUAGUUUGUGUUGCCACUCAAUCGCCAGAUACACAAGUGUGCGUAGCCGCCCUUCAGUGUUUGGUUAAGAUUAUGACCCUGUACUAUCAAUACAUGGAACCUUACAUGGGCCAGGCCUUGUUUCCCAUCACUCUGGAGGCGAUGAAGUCGGAAAACGAUCAGAUUGCUCUGCAAGGUGUUGAGUUUUGGUCCAAUGUAAGCGACGAAGAAAUAGAUUUGGCCAUUGAAAAUCAAGAAGCUAAUGAUGCUGGCCGUGCCCCUCAACGAGUGUCAAAGCAUUACGCGCGAGGUGCUCUAAAGUUUUUAGUGCCAGUUUUAGUAGAGAAAUUAACAAAGCAGGACGAGUGCGAAGAUGAAGAUACUUGGAGUCCUGCCAAGGCAGCCUCAGUCUGCCUUAUGCUUCUGGCCACUUGCUGUGAGGACGAAAUUGUUCCACAUGUAUUUCCAUUUAUCAAAGACAACAUUGAAUCGGCCGACUGGCGGUUCCGUGAUGCUGCUGUCAUGGCAUUUGGUUCUAUUCUGAGUGGUAUUGAAGCUAAUACUUUGAAAUCAUUGGUUGAACAGGCUAUGCCCACACUCAUACGUUUGAUGUACGACCAAAGUGUUAAUGUGCGCGACACGACUGCCUGGACUUUUGGGCGUAUUUGUGACAUUAUCCCUGAGGCGGCGAUUAAUAAAACCUACUUGCAGCCUUUGUUGGAAUGCUUCAUCCAAAGCCUCAAGGCCGAACCGCGUGUGGCUGCUAAUGUUUGCUGGGCUUUCAUAGGCCUUUCCGAUGCCGCUUAUGAGGCUGCUGAAGCCACCGAUGGUGAAACUCCCGAAACGUACUGCCUGUCGCCCUAUUUUGAAUACAUUAUUACACAACUGUUGGAAACAACCGAUCGCCAAGAUGGCAAUCAAGGCAAUUUGCGUGCCGCAGCUUAUGAAGCUCUCAUGGACAUGAUAAAGAAUUCGCCACUAGAUUGUUAUUUGAUUGUGCAGCGCACAACUAUUGUCAUACUUGAACGUCUCAAUCAAGUCUUGCAAAUGGAGAACCAUAUUGCAAGCCACAAUGAUCGCCAUCAAUUCAAUGACCUGCAAUCUCUUCUUUGUGCCACACUUCAAAGCGUGUUGCGCAAGGUGCGUGAAGACGAUGCUCCACAGAUUUCAGAUGCCAUAAUGUCAGCAUUGCUCACCAUGUUCAGUUCUAGUUCUGGCAAAACCGGUGGAGUUCAAGAAGACGCCUUCCUGGCCGUUUCAACACUGGUGGAAUUAUUGGGACUGAAGUUUGUCAAAUAUAUGGAUGCCUUCAAGCCGUUCUUGUACAUGGGCUUGAAGAACCAUCAGGAGUAUCAGGUGUGCUGCGCUGCUGUUGGCCUAACUGGUGAUAUUUGUCGGGCCCUGAAACAACUCAUUAUUCCCUACUGCGAUGAAAUAAUGAACCUGCUGUUGGCCAAUUUACAAGAGCCCACGUUGCAUCGUAGUGUCAAGCCUCAGAUUUUAUCAGCUUUUGGUGAUAUGGCCCUCAGCAUUGGUGGUGAAUUUGUUAAAUAUUUGAGAAUGACCAUGGAAAUGUUGAUUGUAGCAUCACGGCUAGAGGUUGAUCCCAACAGUUUUGACAUGGUUGAGUACCAAAAUGAGUUGCGUGAAAGUGUUUUAGAAGCCUAUACUGGCAUCAUUCAGGGUUUGAAAGGUGUCGAAAAAACUCCAAAUCCUGAUGUCUUCUAUUUGGAACCACAUCUUGGCUAUAUUAUCGUGUUCUUGAAGCAAAUUGCGGUCGAAGGAGAAAAUUCCGAUUCUAUGGUAGCAAGUGCUGCUGGUUUCAUCGGUGAUCUGUGCUCUGCAUUUGGUCCACGUUUGUUGUCUUUUGUCGAUGACCCCACCAUAACACAAUUCUUGGCUGAAGGCAAGCGCUCAAAGGCGUCCCGCACUAAAUCUCUCUGCAACUGGGCCACCAAGGAAAUAAAGAAACUACGCGAACAUCAGACAAUAGCCCAGUAAAUUGUGUGCAUUUAAGAAUGUUACACGACGUAGAAAAAAAAUCACAUCCUCAUCCCCACCCGCCCCUACACAUUUAAAUUUAAAUUAUUUUUCGUAAUUAGUAUAACAAAAAACAACGAUGAUACUACUACAUUAUACUAAAAAUACAUUUUUGGCGCGCCGAAAUACUAAGAAGAUGAUUCAAAAGGUGCAUUGUUCUCCUUUGUGUAUGUUCAACUCGUAUAUAAGCCUCCCAAAACAAGAAAUACAAACCGUCGAAAGAGAAAAAUAAUUUGCUGCUAAAACCCCCUACACAGGAUAAACAAUUUGUAUGCAGUAUACGUGUGUGAAUGUGUUAUUAUUAAACAAAACAAAACAAAAACAAAACUAUACUUUUUAAGUGUGACUGAUUUUGAAAUGAUGUUUAAUGGAUAUUGUUGAUGAUGCAAUAACUUUGAUCAUGUAUGAUAAUGUACAGAUAAAGUAUAUAGAGAAGAGUGAAUGACCCCUAUGUGAAUGAUGAUUAUGGUAAUAAGGAUGCAAAUGAUGAUGGUGAUAAGAAUGAUGUCGAUGAUAAUGAUGAUGAUGAUGAUGAUGAUUUGGUUUCAUUUACAUAAAAACUUGAACAGACAAAAAUCUCAACUGAACCUCUUCAACAAUUAACACGAAACAUGAUGUACGAGUGUAGUGUACCUAAUACUCUUCCAAGUAUUAUAAACGAGAGAAAACCAACCAGAUUUCCUCAUUUUGAGAUUGUGUGCAUCAGAGAAGCUAUCUUCUAUAUGUAACUAAUGAUUAAUUUGUACGAAUGUGUGUAUAGGGUGUUAUUUUAUUUAUUUUUAGAGAGUAUGUUUGUAUGAAUUAGUGUGGUGAAUGUGUAUGUAGUAUGUGUGCUUAUAAAGGUAUAAAAGACAUUCGAAACAAUUUGAAAUAAAACCCCUUGAGACGAACGACCCCUCUCCACCAACCGAAAAUAAAGUUGAAAAAAGCAAUACCACAAAUCACAAAACGGACCAAUUCAAAAAUUGACAAAAGAAACAAAAACAAAAA